rnacentral:tRNA from 1 species
GUUCCUGUAGCGCAAUGGAUAGCGCGUUGGACUUCUAAUUGAAAGGUCGUGGGUUCGAAUUCCACCUGGGAUG